rnacentral:rRNA from 1 species
UACGUAGGGUGCGAGCGUUGUCCGGAAUUAUUGGGCGUAAAGAGCUUGUAGGCGGUCUGUCGCGUCUGCUGUGAAAAUCCGGGGCUCAACCCCGGACUUGCAGUGGGUACGGGCAGACUAGAGUGUGGUAGGGGAGACUGGAAUUCCUGGUGUAGCGGUGAAAUGCGCAGAUAUCAGGAGGAACAGCCGAUGGCGAAGGCAGGUCUCUGGGCC